CAGGAGAAAGAAAUGUGAGACGGCGCAAGCGCAAAGGAAGCGCGUGCGAGCGAGCGCACUAGUGUGUGGUGGAGUGUGACGGAGGGAGUGAGAUAGCGAAAUGCGGGAAGAUCGCUAUGGGUACUUUUACAUUGUACGCGUGUAGUGCAGAUAAUAUUGUGAGUUAUUAGAAAUCUGCUUCGAUUAUCUGGCAUGGUAAUUGGAGAUUAGGUUUUGUGCGAUCAACUGAAAAGUAGGGUUAGAAAUCUACCGGGGGAGUACAGGAAGGAACACUGAAUAAGUGAUAAGCUGUCCGGGCGUUUCGAGUUUCGGCAUGAGAAAACUUGAAAUCAAAACUACACGACGAUGACGAUUCUGAAAUUAUUCAUUAGACUUAUCAUAGAGUUUGACAAACGUUGAAGCAACUGAUGCGUUGGGCUGUCCAGCAAGAGAUAAUUGGUUUGCCUUGAGUGAUAUAUUGCCGGACUGUUUCAGAACCUCUUGGAUCGCUCCACCGUGUAUCUCAAGCAUAUUCCAAGUUCCCUGGGACGUCGGUCACAACAAGCCUACGUCACGGAGGAUUCUGCACAACCGUCGCUAAACGCCGCGUAGUUCACGGAGUCAACACAUUGCCACAAUCUCCACCUCUCCCAUACUGGCCACCAUGAAAAACGAAGAAGAGAUAAACGUUGUCUGUAGCAUUACCACCGGGUGUCGAGUGAUGGCUGAGAUUCUGUCGAUCUCUGGCGGCAGCUUCUUCCCUCGCAGUGCCCCCGGCGGGUUCUGUACGACGAUAUAGCUGUCAAUCAUUCUAUAAUUAAGCGAUUUCACGCCAUCUCUUCUCUGUCGAUGCCCCACGGACACACACACGCACACGCACCACGCAACGAGCCCUGGUUAGACACUUUGUGGACACAAAUGUCUGACGAUCAUGAUCGUGUCGUUCGUGGCUUGCAGCUACUGGGGAGCCGGGGAAGUGUUUUGGGAACCCGCAUUAGAAUCGGGUUACGAAUCGACUCCAUUGGUGUGAUAGCUAUUGCACGUUAGCGACAGAAAGAUGCGACAGUAUAAGAUCAAUGCCGAUCGUUUCUUGAUAUACAGGACGAUCACAGCAGAAGUGUCACAUGGAGGCUACAACAAAUAGCUCGUGCGCGCACUGUUGUGGCAAAAGUCCCUGCGGGAUCUCCCUAGGUCCCCCUUCCCCAGCAAAAAAGUCAGAUAAAGAUACACUUUUUCUCUUGCGGAUGUUCCCCGCAUAGCAGAGGAGCCGGCAGCAGUAGGACGGUUCGAAAUAGCAGAGCAUAAUCACACACACACAACGAUCUCGGUCGGUCGGUCGGUGAAGGUAGACCAACUCGCACUCUGCGCGGCACUCUCGGGUCUCUCGGUUCCAAAAAUAGUAUUUAUUUGGUAUUCCAUUCCUUUUCGGAUGGUCCCGCCAACGGCCGUAUUUUUAAACUGUCACAUCUUGCCGACCGAAUGACGACUGGGGGACACACAGCGAUCGCGGCGCGGCACGGGCAGCCCCUUUUCCACAGGAACGUUUCAAUUUGUCACCUCCCCCUACCUUCCCCUCCCCCAAUCAGCAAAACAGGAUGCCUUCCGUGUGUCGCGCUCGAACGUGUCGAUUAGAUCUUGCAUGUCAUUGCUUGGAGGUUGCGGCCCACCAGACCCAGCCCACCAGAAAGCGGGCCCUUACUAUCGCACGGCGGCACGGGCGAAGUGUUGUCGUCGUCUUGCCCGAUACAUCGCCCGUGAUGAGAUCUUAAUCGAUCGAAUGAUAGAUGAGUGAGGAAGUGGGCGAAAUUGAAGCAUUUACGGACGAAGCACCAUCUCCAGCGCGGGAUGCUUUCUUUUUUCAACAACCCAACUAAUGAAGGUCUGUAGGAGCCACGUCCGAUAGCAUGGGCAAAGCCCCCUUGGAAACCCCUAUUCUUGGGUGGAAGGUUACGUAAUUUCGGAAACGGUGAUGCAAUGCGACUCGCUCCAAAAGUAAGGCACAUCAGAAGCACCAGAACGGUUCCGUCUCCGAUGAGUUGCGGUUGCCGCCCAUCGGCACAUCCAGCCCCGGCCUAUAUGGGCGCGUUCCUGAAUUGUGCUGCUGAUGUGGCCCCGGGAGACCGACCGAGAUGAUACAGAACCAUGGCGGGAUGUCGUGAUUCGAUUGGGAGAGAGCGCUGUUUGGAUGCGGCGACCGUUGCUGGCAGCACAAUCGAUGGUGGUGGAGGCACACUUUACCACACAGUCCGAGGGAUUGUGUGUCUGAUAAUGGGUCGCUAGCUUAAGCUAGGGCAGAUGUGGUAAUACCGUCUGUGUGAGUGCCUUCUAUCUGACCCUACAGCCUGUUGACAGCUAGAGCAGCAUCAUCAUCAUCAUUGCGAAAAAUUAUCGCCCUUGUGGUGGGCCAAUAUUGCAAAUGAUGAUGAUGAUGUUAUGCUUUAGUCAGCUCAGUCAGUGUUUAUAGGCUCAUCAGUUCCAAAGGCAUGCAAACAAGGGAAGGUUUUGUAUACAGAUAGAGCGAUCGAGUCCAGUCCAGCUCAGUAGAGCGCAUUAUUGAUAAGCGCAUCUCGUAACAGCGACCCCAACGCUGAUGACCUACUGCUAUGGCACGUUGUUCUUCGACUUGGUGAUGCAUUAAUGUGCGAGCGAAUGAUUUAUGAGACGUUGUUGAGCGUAUGAUGUGUGUGCUUUGCUUUUUAAAAAUUAGCCACAUCCUUUAUCAUCUCCUGAAUGGCUGAAAACAGGAAUUUUUGCAAGUGAUUAUUUGCACCAUUUCUACAUCAAAAUCUGCCUGCCCUCCCUCCGCUCUCGCCAUGCUCAAAUGAGCUCAUUGAACUAACAAUUGCGAUUAAUGAGCUUUACGCAUCGGUGAAGGUGAACAUUCCUCUGCACGUUGUGUUGGUUAGGUUUAGUUUCGCGGCAUUCCUUCCACUGUUGGAAUGCGUGGAACUACCGUGCAUUAUUGGAUGUUUCGAAGCAUGUUGAUUUGAUGUUUGCGUUUUCUAAUCAAUAAUUGCAUCGUCAAACAACAACCAAAAAAAAAAAAAAGGCAGCAGAAACAUGCCGUCAUGUUCCAACACAUCUCAGCUCUUCUGCGUUAAACGCCGACUAACACACAACAGUGUAACAAGUAAAGUCGAUGCCAAUGACAUGGUAUUACUUGAACCGUUUUUAAUCCGAUCCGGAUUACGACGGAGAGGGCACUGUUUAAAGACAUCGAUUCUUAAUGCAAUGAUUAGCGUAUGUGCUGUCUUUCGUUUCGUUGUGUGUGCCUUCUGUCAACCUUCGGUGACUGCUUAAGUCUCCCCCCGGCUCCCCGAUACAUUAUACACCCAUUCUCCCCGUCAACGUCUAGUGAGGCUUAGCUUGCUCGGGCGUGCCUCUACCAGUCGAGCUAUAUUUAGUACGUUUGGCUGCUUAAAUGCUCUUGCAAAUGCUAGCUGAAAGCGAUUGAGAACCCCACUGUGUGUCGUCCGAGGCGUACAUGGGGUGGGCAUGGUGUACGGAAGCUCUUCUGUCUCAUACGUGAGAAGAUUAAUAAGUGUGUUUGGGGAUAUCAAGACGACGGUGUGUACCAGCUGUUACUUUGGUGGACUUUGGUGUCUUCCACCCCAAAUCCUCCUCUCAUUGACCGAUCAUAUCUUUAAUCGUGUACAAGAUGUUUGAGUUGGUGGGCUUGGGACGUGCGGUGGGUGUCUUAAACAUCUGCACCAAUUUGUAGUAAACGGGUGCUUGAGUACUCUAGCACCCCCCGUGGCCCCAAAACAGCCCAUUUGUCACAUUAUUACUAUUACUACUAGCAAAUAAUUAGCGUGGCGCAUUAAAAUGGGCGCCCUCUCGCGCUACUGCUGCAAAGUGUGCGGACACGACCGCAGGAAAAAAGCCUGCAGAUAGCGUCCUCUGUAUCCUCUGUCAUGGGCUGUCAAGCAUUACGGCGAACAGCGCUGUAAAACUGGCCGUGUUUUUGUCCAUCUCCAUGGUGGUGCCUCGUUUUGAAGUGAUUUGUAAAUAAAUUACUGUUAAUUGUACGCUCCCGCACCACACGAUGUUACAGGCCGACGCCGUGAUCCUCCGUUUUGUACCGCGUGUACGGGUCGUGGUGCGCACCAAGGCUGGUGGUGAAGCGCCAUCCCAAAAUGAAUGUUUUUAUUCGUUGUGCUGCAAGCAUGUUAUAUUGAAUGUGUGUGUGUUUGUGUGUAACCUGUUAAAGUUUGCUACCUUGUGUCUUUAAACGUUUAGAAUAGAGGAGUUUAUAAAAAAGAUAGCUUUUUUUUCUGGA